rnacentral:lncRNA from 1 species
AUCUCUUCAUCAUCUCUCUUGAUAAUAUCCCAUGCGACAACAUAUGCAAACAUUAAUCAUCUAUAACCAAACCAAGAUCUCAAACAAACCGUACCAUAUACAACCAUCAAGUGUUCAUCAUAUCUCUUCAUGUGGGUUCCUAUGACAACGUAUUGAUAGCCUAUAUAGGCACAAAUCCGAAUUAAUAUGGCCUGAAAAUUCAACAACGCAUCAUCUAGUACCUAUCAAUCAUCUAAAAUAAUCUACCAACUACAAUGUUUUCCCUAAAAUGAAUAAACCAUCUACUCAUCUAAGAACCGCCAUAAAAAAGAAGAGGAUUCAAUCGAAAUAAAUUGGAGGGAAGGGGCAAGGGUACCUUGAGGAUGCUUAGGGGCCUCAGAUCCAUGAAUUUGAGGGGUGGAAUGAGUAUAUCUUGAGGAUUUGGUGAGGGGUGAGGGAAGGGGCGAGAGAGAACCCUCUCUGUUCGUGCGUUAGCUCGAUCGUCGCCAGAGG